rnacentral:lncRNA from 1 species
UACUAAAAUAUUGUGGUUCUCAAAUGAAUAGGCUGACUCCCUGCCUUCUCGUCCUACACAGAAUUUCGUCAGGCAGCUCCCUGCCCUCACAUGCAUGGAACUCACAACGGCUUCCUAGAGCCUUGAUCUUCAAUCUGACCACCACCUCUGUGCAGGAAAGGUCCAGUCUGAAAGAGGAAGACCCAAAUAUGCGAGAAACAAGGCAAGCACAAGAGAAAUCUGCAGUAUUUCAAUAUGUGGAGCUUUGGAGGUAUUGACCCGUGGAUCUGGGUCGAACAGGACUCUCAGACUUCAGCCUCACGUUCCCUAGGACUUUGCAGGAGGCUUCCUUGUUUCAGCUGGAUUUGAACCUGGAGAAGCUGGGAGCUCCCCUGCAUCCUAAGAAUGAAGCUUGCAGAGAGAAAGGUAGGGUAGCAAUAUGGACAGAAACUGAGCCUUGAGUUCUGUCACACUGUGGUCAUUUCACAGAUUAGGAAACUGAGGCUAGGUGAGACUUGUUUACUUGUCCCAAAUGUCAAGGAGAUAGGGUUUAACUCCAUGA